rnacentral:rRNA from 1 species
GACGAACGCUGGCGGCGUGCCUAAUACAUGCAAGUAGAACGCUGAAGAGAGGAGCUUGCUCUUCUUGGAUGAGUUGCGAACGGGUGAGUAACGCGUAGGUAACCUGCCUGGUAGCGGGGGAUAACUAUUGGAAACGAUAGCUAAUACCGCAUGAUAUUAAUUGUUGCAUGAUAAUUAAUUGAAAGAUGCAAUUGCAUCACUACCAGAUGGACCUGCGUUGUAUUAGCUAGUUGGUGAGGUAACGGCUCACCAAGGCGACGAUACAUAGCCGACCUGAGAGGGUGAUCGGCCACACUGGGACUGAGACACGGCCCAGACUCCUACGGGAGGCAGCAGUAGGGAAUCUUCGGCAAUGGGGGGAACCCUGACCGAGCAACGCCGCGUGAGUGAAGAAGGUUUUCGGAUCGUAAAGCUCUGUUGUAAGAGAAGAACGAGUGUGAGAGUGGAAAGUUCACACUGUGACGGUAUCUUACCAGAAAGGGACGGCUAACUACGUGCCAGCAGCCGCGGUAAUACGUAGGUCCCGAGCGUUGUCCGGAUUUAUUGGGCGUAAAGCGAGCGCAGGCGGUUAGAUAAGUCUGAAGUUAAAGGCUGUGGCUUAACCAUAGUAUGCUUUGGAAACUGUUUAACUUGAGUGCAGAAGGGGAGAGUGGAAUUCCAUGUGUAGCGGUGAAAUGCGUAGAUAUAUGGAGGAACACCGGUGGCGAAAGCGGCUCUCUGGUCUGUAACUGACGCUGAGGCUCGAAAGCGUGGGGAGCAAACAGGAUUAGAUACCCUGGUAGUCCACGCCGUAAACGAUGAGUGCUAGGUGUUAGGCCCUUUCCGGGGCUUAGUGCCGCAGCUAACGCAUUAAGCACUCCGCCUGGGGAGUACGACCGCAAGGUUGAAACUCAAAGGAAUUGUCGGGGGCCCGCACAAGCGGUGGAGCAUGUGGUUUAAUUCGAAGCAACGCGAAGAACCUUACCAGGUCUUGACAUCCCUCUGACCGCUCUAGAGAUAGAGUUUUCCUUCGGGACAGAGGUGACAGGUGGUGCAUGGUUGUCGUCAGCUCGUGUCGUGAGAUGUUGGGUUAAGUCCCGCAGCGAGCGCAACCCCUAUUGUUAGUUGCCAUCAUUGAGUUGGGCACUCUAGCGAGACUGCCGGUAAUAAACCGGAGGAAGGUGGGGAUGACGUCAAAUCAUCAUGCCCCUUAUGACCUGGGCUACACACGCGCUACAAUGGCUGGUACAACGAGUCGCAAGCCGGUGACGGCAAGCUAAUCUCUGAAAGCCAGUCUCAGUUCGGAUUGUAGGCUGCAACUCGCCUACAUGAAGUCGGAAUCGCUAGUAAUCGCGGAUCAGCACGCCGCGGUGAAUACGUUCCCGGGCCU